CCGCACCGGCGCCCUUGAGAGGGUUGGCCAGCGCCCGCCAGAGGACCAUAAAACUCCAGUCAGUGAACUUCGCAGUCUGAAAAACAAGUUAAUAAACUAAAACUUUCAACAACGGAUCUCUUGGUUCUGGCAUCGAUGAAGAACGCAGCGAAAUGCGAUAAGUAAUGUGAAUUGCAGAAUUCAGUGAAUCAUCGAAUCUUUGAACGCACAUUGCGCCCCUUGGUAUUCCGAGGGGCAUGCCUGUUCGAGCGUCAUUUCAACCCUCAAGCUCUGCUUGGUAUUGGGCCCCGUCCUCCACGGACGCGCCUUAAAGACCUCGGCGGUGGCGUCUUGCCUCAAGCGUAGUAGAAAACACCUCGCUUUGGAGCGCACGGCGUCGCCCGCCGGACGAACCUUUGAAUUAUUUCUCAAGGUGACCUCGGAUCAGGUAGGGAACCCCGAAU
rnacentral:rRNA from 1 species